AUGAAUGAUUUGAUGAUCUUAGAUAUUCUAUGCCUGGAGCUGGCAUCAUCUUCACUAUAAAAUAUCAAGAUAUAUCAUGACAUAUCUUAGGGUUAGAAUUAUGUGAACAGUGCAGUUGGCAUGACACUCAAUAAAAGCAUGAUUGCAUUCUGAAUCCAUGGGUUGUUUGAACAGUUGAGGUUGAUACAGUUUUUAUCAACAAUACAGUCUGUGCAGUCAGCACAUCUGAUCAGUUCAGUCUACAGUCUCACUCUGAUGUGCAUUCCUCAGAGAAUCAGAAUUGUGUGUCUGUUCAGAGAUGAGGGCAAAUUUAGAGAGUUUACAGAUGAU
rnacentral:sRNA from 1 species